rnacentral:rRNA from 1 species
UACGGAGGAUCCGAGCGUUAUCCGGAUUUAUUGGGUUUAAAGGUUGCGUAGGCGGUUUGAUAAGUUAGAGGUGAAAUGUCGGGGCUCAACCCCGAAACUGCCUCUAAUACUGUUGGACUAGAGAAUAGUUGCGGUAGGCGGAAUGUAUGGUGUAGCGGUGAAAUGCUUAGAGAUCAUACAGAACACCGAUUGCGAAGGCAGCUUACCAAACUAUAUCUGACGUUGAGGCACGAAAGCGUGGGUAGCAAACAGG